UGGGGAAUAUUGCACAAUGGGGGAAACCCUGAUGCAGCGACGCCGCGUGAACGAAGAAGGUAUUCGUAUCGUAAAGUUCUGUCCUAUGGGAAGAUAAUGACAGUACCAGAGAAGAAAGCUCCGGCUAAAUACGUGCCAGCAGCCGCGGUAAUACGUAUGGAGCGAGCGUUGUCCGGAAUUAUUGGGCGUAAAGGGUACGCAGGCGGUUUAAUAAGUCGAAUGUUAAAGAUCUGGGCUCAACCCCGUAAAGCAUUGGAAACUGAUAAACUUGAGUAGUGGAGAGGAAAGUGGAAUUCCUAGUGUAGUGGUGAAAUACGUAGAUAUUAGGAGGAAUACCAGUAGCGAAGGCGACUUUCUGGACACAAACUGACGCUGAGGUACGAAAGCGUGGGGAGCAAACAGG
rnacentral:rRNA from 1 species